GAAAUGCGAUACUUGGUGUGAAUUGCAGAAUCCCGUGAACCAUCGAGUCUUUGAACGCAAGUUGCGCCCGAAGCCAUUAGGCCGAGGGCACGCCUGCCUGGGUGUCGAUGAUCGCUUUGUUCACCGGUCCGGUCAGUUCUGGACCCAUCGACGACCCUUUGCGUGCACGCACGCUCCCAACGAGACCUCAGGUCAGGCGGGGCUACCCGCUGAGUUUAA
rnacentral:misc_RNA from 1 species